rnacentral:lncRNA from 1 species
GUGAUUCCCUCCUACACCCCCAGAAACCCAAGCAUGGGGAGUGGGCGUGCUGUGCUGCCUUCCCCAGGGCAUGGGGACAAGCAGGAGCUUUACCAGGCAGGAGUUGUUACAGCUGCACGGGUGUGUCCUGCUCCCUGCCUCUCUCCAUCACACCCCGCUGCCUUCAGACCCUCUCUCCCCCUGCUCCACAUGCAUGGAUCCCUCACGUUCUCCCCACAAGCACGGUGUUGGCAGUGGCGGCCGUCGGCCUCGUCCUCCUCUCUACAGGCAUCUGGUUUGCCAUCAGGAAAGGUGCCUGCAGAGGGAGAUGCCCAAGGCAGCAGCACGUUGACAGCCCACAGAUGGAAACCACAGACCAUGGCGAAGUCACAUGUGAGUACUACCUCCUCCGUUGGCGGAAGCCAUGCACCCGUGUCAGGUGGAAUCCCAGCACUUCAUUUCCCACUGGGACAUACAGAAUCCCUGCCUGUUCAUCAAGACCAGGUUUCUCUCCAGCACCUCACGUCGUCCUUCUUCCUUGCAUGCAGAGUGCGGCUGCUGCCUGCACAAGGGACAUGGCAGCAUCCCAGUGCUCCCAGGGACAAAGCCCUUUUGCUUGGGGGGUUCCUUCCACACCAGCUCCGGCCUCAGGCUGCAUUUCCCCUGCUUCAGCCUCUGCUUUUGUCCUUUCUUCAGUUUCUCUUCAGUGUCAUUUCUGCUUCAAGAACUACACAAAGCACAUCACAGCAACAAAAGCUGUCGCUCUGUUUCCUUGCACUGCUGGGGAAAACAUUUUAUAGCUCAUUCUGA